rnacentral:rRNA from 1 species
UACGUAGGGUGCGAGCGUUGUCCGGAAUUAUUGGGCGUAAAGAGCUCGUAGGCGGUCUGUCGCGUCGGUCGUGAAAACUUGGGGCUUAACCCUGAGCUUGCGGUCGAUACGGGCAUGACUGGAGUUCGGUAGGGGAGACUGGAAUUCUCGGUGUAGCAGUGAAAUGCGUAGAUAUCGAGAGGAACACCAGUGGCGAAGGCGAGUCUCUGGACGACCCCUGACACUGAGGCACGAAAGCUAGGGGAGCAAACAGG